CCCAUAUUGAUGUAGUUUAAACUCACUAGGAGGAUGAUGCUGCCCAGGAAAAUGUGUUGGGCUACAGACUGUUUCUGGACCACAAUCUUUCAGAAGUGUUUGGCAAAAUCAUAACGGACCCGUCAUUGCGCCGAUGUAAAAGCCUUUGUGUUUAGAACGGGCUUACUCUAAACAUGCCAAUGUCUACUGAGAAGCUGCCAACAAAUUUUACUGUCUAAUUAUAACCGUAGUCAUGCAAGAUUUGUCUAAGCAGCGAUAGCGCGAUAGGUAGUCAAUUGUGUUCGAAAACUGGGAGUGUUAAUCAUGUAAAGCAAAAUCGAAAGACGCAAUCUAACAGGGUGUAUUUACCGAUGCACCAUACAAUAGUCGCAUAUAGAUGAAAUUUACCUAUUUUAGCUUAUUGACAACUCUGCAAACAAACAGAUCAUUUCGCUAACGCGACUUUAUCAGACGUUAAGAACGCCCUUAUUUUUAUUGUUUGAGAGGAUUAAUGUCACUUUGACCUUGCCUGUCUUCAAGAGAAAGCAAAUCAAAAAUUGAAUGUAUCUAUUCCCUUUAGGUUAAGUCUUUUCACUGCGAAAAGCAAUAACAGCUGCCAAUACAAUUGACUUCCAUUUCAUCCCCUUUAAAAUAGUCACUUUCAUCGUCAGGCUGAGAGCUUUGUUCAUGAAUGUUUUAACAUUAGUACAUCGUUAACUAGUUAACAUUAUUGUGCGUCUAGAAUUUAACUUCUUCCGACGGUAAAAGCUUCUAAAGGUGUCCUCAAAGCUUUUACCGUCGGGUGUCCGACUCUGUUUCAUAAAAAUAUAUGCGCAUUAACGCAAUCUUCCAUUUUUAGACCAAACAUUAGUCUGCAAUAUGUGAUUUCAUAGUAGAAAAAAACAAAGUGCGUAACAAGUCGCACCUGAUUAUUGCUGGACAAUUGAUAGUUUGUGGUAAGUUGUGACAAUCACUUCGUUGGAAACUGCUCUUCGCUUCGUUUCAUGAUGAAAACGCUACAGCCAGCUAUCGUUAUCUAUUGAAUACGUGUAACUGAGAAGUCCAUUCAUUGGUCGCCUGCGGAGAGCAACGUUCUUGAGCAGGUAACUCCUGAGCUCAUACGCUUGCUGGGUCCUCCUGGGUUCUCUAUGGGAACCGCUGUAAGUUUCGAAACUUUUCAUAGUGCGGUCUCUUCGUAGACCUGAUUCUGCUCAAGCAAACAGGCUAUUUUGGCAGCACAGGAGCAUAUUUGUUUCAAAGGUUGUUAACCAAUACACCUCUUAUAACAAUAACCUCUAGGGUUUUCUCUCAAGGGCAUACCGGGAGUGACCACAAUAAUAAUUCUUCUAUUCUAUAGCGGAACGGCUGGACGACCACCCGCUACCGGCUUUUAGAAGUUCUGCGCACGUUCCUAAUCCAUUUGGUUGCCAGCAGCUCACUCAGACUAUGUGUAUACAUACUGCUUUUUAAAAUCGAAUGAUACACACAAUUAUACGCCUAAGUUGGAAAACACCGUAUUUCACGUUUAUCUUCUCUAAUAAAGCGUUCUGAAAUCACGUAGAUAUUCAGAUAAACUAAUCCGAUUGUUUUCACGCUAAAAAUCCCUUGUUUAUAAUACGGAACGCGAUAACAUUUUUUUUUUUUGUUUUAGUAGCCUGCCGCUCACAGUCAAAAACACGUAGAGCAUUUAAUAUCUAUCAUAAAAAUUUAUCAUUAGCGUUAAUUUCAAAUAUUACACAACAACAUACAGGUGGAUACAGUCGUAGACUUGAGUGUCAUUAUAAAUCAACCAUUAUUCGGUAUAGACAUUACAGGACAAACCUCAGCUUGUAGUGCCUAUUCGUUGAUAAUGACAGUUAUCUGUAUACAGGAUUUUCGUUUCUGCGGCGUUUUUCUGACUGAUGCUUCUGCUAAUGUUGAUGAUUCUAUCACAUUUAACACUUGUCUACCUUCUAUAACUGAAUAGACUAUUGUCGCACACCAUAAGUGAAUUAAUUCAAUUUAUGCAUAACACAAUGGCACCGUACUUAUUGAAACACUUCCCAGUUCUUUCAGCGGACAUCAUUGCACUGUUCAGGCAUAUAGAACGAGCUGUGAGUUUGUGCGUCUGAAGUUAGCAAACUGGACAAAGGCGAGAACUUCACGGUUUUCUUACGCUCAUAACAACAGCAAAUUGUAUGAGUGCUAACAGUAAUAACAGCCGUAUUAACAGGCCAUUGCUACAGCUAGAGGAAAGAGCAGCUGGCGUAAUUUGCGACGACGACGGCAGCGUUUGCAGCGUCAGCGACUAAGUCAGGUGCGGCUACACACGGAUAAGUUUCGUAGGAGCACACAACAACUUCAAUGCUGGCGCCAAUGUUGCCGUAGUUAUUCUUCCCGCGUGCUUCCGCCUGUAAUUCCAACGUCGACGUUUUCUUGUUCACAGCCGUCGCCACCACCGCCACUACCGUCACCAUCACCGUCACCGUCGUCUUCACUGUCGACUUGGCGCAACCAAGAAUGUCGGGGCUUCCCCGCGCGUUGUCCUUUCCUGGUGGUCGCUGCUACCAGAUCGACCACACGGACCCAGCGAGCCUGGUGCCGCUAUCAACAGCGACAGCCUUGGAAACGACCGCCGUCAGCGGCCGACGAACAAACAAGGAAGGAGUCAUCUGUUCGUUGAGAAAGGACGAAACGGAGAAGUAGACACGAGGGUAAAUGGCGACCGACACAAAAGUUGAAAAGAGAACCACGUGAUACCGGUAGGUUCAGACUUACGGUGAGAGAUUUGUUUUGGAAGAAUGUGCCACAACAGUUAACGAUCUUAGGAGAGAGUGAAGCGACUACGAUACUUUUGCUGUUUCAAUCUAUAAUGUAACAUUUUUCACCUGAUCACUCGAAUUAGGCCCUGAUAAAUAGCUACACCCGUCUAUGUGUACAGUAUCAGCUGAAAGUGGGAAAUCUUGAAUGUGACGUCGUCUUGUUAUAUAAUAUUUAUAUCUGUAGACCAUAUGCGAUUCUUAGGUGAAGAUGUGACACCUUCACUGAAGUAAAGCACUUGGCUUCAAUAUUUCCUGCGAGUCACAAAUUCACAACAAACUGUCUGUGAUAAAUAUCCUUAAUAGAUCUGACGGACAAUUGUACGUUUUGUCAACGUAUCGCAAAUGUGUCAACCUAAGGUUAAAAAAAAGAAAUUUCAAACGAUGCUUAAUUUGGACAAGAUAGAAUUUCAAAAACGCAAAAUAAAAACAGUGAUUACUUUUCACAUGAUUGGAUACCUUAGGUAGACUUAACUUUUAUAAAAGGUGUUAUAAGACUGCAAUAAUGUAAUUUUGUCGAUAUGGUAAACUAGCUACCAAUUAGGUGUGUUUUUAAUGAUAGCAUUUAGUCAUAUUUUUAAGUGGCAUACGUACAAACAUACUUUUUUUUAUGAUAAAUAAGAUUAAAACUGGCUGAAAAGAAAGAUUUGAGUUCUUCGAAGUAUACUAUCGCUCUAUCCUAAAA
rnacentral:lncRNA from 1 species